GGCCAGCGUUGAAACGGCCUCAGAGGCCAAUUUUUGGCAUCAUUUCUAAGCAUAGGGAGCUCACUUCUGCCAGGAAGCUGGCUGUAGCCUGGGGUUUUCCUGCUCAGACAAGGCUGUGCUGAGGACAGAUUCCAGGGCCCUUGGAGAGAGCCUGGCAGCACUGCCUAGGGGAAGGAGGACUGCCGAGGCUGCACCUGCGUUCAACUUGGCCACCUGGCCAUGGAUCUGAGAGAGCAGCAGAGCCUGAAAGUCCAGUUUGGUGAAUGGGUGGAGAGGAGAAGAAAAUUUCUCUUCAGCAAAGUCAACGUUGAAGUAAGCAGAAAGAUAAUUAUUUCUCCCUCAGCCUCACCUCCCUGCGCCCCAGCCCAUCACCACCCAGCCUCUGGGCCUCAGCCUCCUGCUCCAGAAACUCAGGACCCUCACGCCACCUGAAGGCGCUGUGCUGUCCUCACUCAGACCUCCACAUGGUGGCCCUGGCUCAGAUGGCUCUUCACCGCUGCCCUCCUGACAGAAUUCAGCCCCAAGAGUCCCCCUCCUCAAUGCUGCCCGAGUUAACCAGCACUUCUUCUCUGCCUCCAGUGUCCCAGGUGACGACAUUGUCAUUAAAAAAAAAACUCUUCUUUACGCAUCGCAAUGACUUAUUUUCACAACCCCCUCCCCCACUGGACAGUGAUUCUUGAGAGUUUCGGAAGCCCACAUGCUACCACAGGGUUAUCACAUAAUUGAUGCUCAAUGAAAGAGAGAGGAAAGAAGAGAGAGGGAAGAGGAAGGC
rnacentral:lncRNA from 10 species